GACGAACGCUGGCGGCGUGCCUAAUACAUGCAAGUAGGACGCAGUUGCGAACGGGUGAGUAACGCGUAGGUAACUGCCUAUUAGAGGGGGAUAACUAUUGGAAACGAUAGCUAAUACCGCAUACUAGUAGAUGGACCUGCGUUGUAUUAGCUAGUAGGUAGGGUAAUGGCCUACCUAGGCAACGAUACAUAGCCGACUUGGGAGGGUGGUCGGCCACACUGGGACUGGGAAACGGGCCAAACUCCUACGGGAGGGAGCAGUAGGGAAUUUUCGGAAAUGGGGGGAACCCUGGCCGAGCAACGCCGCGUGAGUGAAGAAAGGUUUCGGAUCGUAAAGCUCUGUUGUUAAGGAAGCGGUACUUAACCAGAAAGUGACGGCUAACUACGUGCCAGCAGCCGCGGUAAUAC
rnacentral:rRNA from 1 species